AGAAACACCCACAAAUGAUGAAUAAAUACUAAGGGAACUCAGAGGCUGGCGGGAUCCUCCAUAUGCUGAACGCUGGUUCCCCGGUUCCCCUUAUUUCUUUCUCUAUACUUUGUCUCUGUGUCUUUUUCUUUUCCAAAUCUCUCGUCCCACCUUACGAGAAACACCCACAGGUGUGUAGGGGCAACCCACCCCUACAUCUGGUGCCCAACAUGGAGGCUUUUCUCUAGGGUGAAGGUACGCUCGAGCGUGGUCAUUGAGGACAAGUCGACGAGAGAUCCCGAGUACGUCUACAGUCAGCCUUACGGUAAGCUUUCUGCAGGUGUACCCAACAGCUCCGAAGAGACAGCGACCAUCGAGAACGGGCCAUGAUGACGAUGGCGGUUUUGUCGAAAAGAAAAGGGGGAAAUGUGGGGAAAAGCAAGAGAGAUCAGAUUGUUACUGUGUCUGUGUAGAAAGAAGUAGACAUAGGAGACUCCAUUUUGUUAUGUGCUAAGAAAAAUUCUUCUGCCUUGAGAUUCUGUUAAUCUAUAACCUUACCCCCAACCCCGUGCUCUCUGAAACGUGUGCUGUGUCAACUCAGAGUUAAAUGGAUUAAGGGCGGUGCAGGAUGUGCUUUGUUAAACAGAUGCUUGAAGGCAGCAUGCUCCUUAAGAGUCAUCACCACUCCCUAAUCUCAAGUACCCAGGGACACAAAAACUGCGGAAGGCCGCAGGGACCUCUGCCUAGGAAAGCCAGGUAUUGUCCAAGGUUUCUCCCCAUGUGAUAGUCUGAAAUAUGGCCUCGUGGGAAGGGAAAGACCUGACCGUCCCCCAGCCCGACACCAAGGGUCUGUGCUGAGGAGGAUUAGUAAAAGAGGAAGGAAUGCCUCUUGCAGUUGAGACAAGAGGAAGGCAUCUGUCUCCUGCCUGUCCCUGGGCAAUGGAAUGUCUCGGUAUAAAACCCGAUUGUAUGCUCCAUCUACUGAGAUAGGGAAAAACCGCCUUAGGGCUGGAGGUGGGACCUGCGGGCAGCAAUACUGCUUUGUAAAGCAUUGAGAUGUUUAUGUGUAUGCAUAUCUAAAAGCACAGCACUUAAUCCUUUACAUUGUCUAUGAUGCAAAGACCUUUGUUCACGUGUUUGUCUGCUGACCCUCUCCCCACAAUUGUCUUGUGACCCUGACACAUCCCCCUCUUCGAGAAACACCCACAAGUGAUGAAUAAAUACUAAGGGAACUC
ensembl:lncRNA novel transcript